rnacentral:rRNA from 1 species
GAUGAACGCUGGCGGCGUGCCUAAUACAUGCAAGUCGAGCGAACGGACGAGAAGCUUGCUUCUCUGAUGUUAGCGGCGGACGGGUGAGUAACACGUGGAUAACCUACCUAUAAGACUGGGAUAACUUCGGGAAACCGGAGCUAAUACCGGAUAAUAUUUUGAACCGCAUGGUUCAAAAGUGAAAGACGGUCUUGCUGUCACUUAUAGAUGGAUCCGCGCUGCAUUAGCUAGUUGGUAAGGUAACGGCUUACCAAGGCAACGAUGCAUAGCCGACCUGAGAGGGUGAUCGGCCACACUGGAAAUGAGACACGGUCCAGACCCCUAGGGGAGGCAGCAGUAGGGAAUCUUCCGCAAAGGGCGAAAGCCUGACGGAGAAACGCCGCGGGGGUGAUGAAGGGCUUCGGAUCGUAAAACGUUGUUAUUAGGGAAGAACAUAUGUGUAAGUAACUGGGCAAAUUUGGACGGUACCAAAGCAGAAAGCCACGGCUAACUACGU